rnacentral:rRNA from 1 species
GACGAACGCUGGCGGCGUGCUUAACACAUGCAAGUCGAACGGACAGGCCAUGCUUUUGUGGGGUGCUCGAGUGGCGAACGGGUGAGUAACACGUGAGUAAACUGUACUUGUCUUUGGGAUAACUUCUGGAAAAUGGGGCUCAUAUCGGGUAGGAGCUCCUGCUGCACGGUGGGCGUUGGUAAGUUUCGGCUGUUGGGGCUGGUCUAGCGGCUUAUCAGCUUGAUGGUGGGGUAGUGGCUUACCAGGGUUUUGACGGGUAGGCCGCCUGAGAGGGUGACCGGCGACAAUGGUACUGAGAGACGGAGCAGACUCCUACGGGAGGCAGCAGGGGGGAGUAUUGCGCAAUGGGCGGAAGCGUGAUGCAGCGACGCCGCGUGCGGGAAGACGUCCUUCGAGUUGUAAACCGCUGUCUCCUGUGACGAAGCGUGAGUGACGGUAAUGGGUAAAGAAGCACCGGCUAACUACGUG